rnacentral:lncRNA from 1 species
GGUGACUAGAAGCUGCCGAUGAGCUGGCAGUCCGGAUGGCAGCUAUCAACACGGCAAGGGCCUGCAGGCGCAUCAGCCCUCCCCCCGUUCCUCUACUGCCAUUGGAGACAGGAUGCUUUGUAAAAGUGGGAGCUCAUGAAGGUGGCACUGUGCACUGAGGGACAGAGUGGCUGACAGUGAACUGCCCAAGACAACCUGCUGGCUCUCGUGACCAUCUCCGAAAGCCUUUGGAUGGGCUAAUUGACAGGCAUGCCUGGACAUUUAUAAACGGCUGCUCUUAUAUGCACCAUGAAGACAUCGAAGAGGUCUCCAAUUGAAGGACAACUAUAAGCACAAGCAUGGAGGGGCAUCUAGAUGGCGAGCGCAAGGACAACUGUAAUGUAAAAUUUCUCCCAAC